CACACGUGCUACAAUGGGCGGUACAAAGGGUAGCGAUGCCGCGAGGUGAAGCCAAUCCCAAAAAGCCGUCCACAGUUCGGAUUGGAGUCUGCAACUCGACUCCAUGAAGCCGGAAUCGCUAGUAAUCGUGGAUCAGCAUGCCACGGUGAAUACGUUCCCGGGCCUU
rnacentral:rRNA from 1 species